GUUCCCUUAGUUAAAUGGAUAUAACAGGAGCCUCCUAAGCCCCAGUUGUGGGUUCGAUUCCCGCAGGGAACGUCA
rnacentral:tRNA from 1 species